rnacentral:rRNA from 1 species
GAUGAACGCUAGCGGCAGGCCUAAUACAUGCAAGUCGAACGAUAUUAUCCAGCUUGCUGGAUAUGAAAGUGGCGCACGGGUGCGUAACGCGUAUGCAACCUACCUUAUUCAGGGGGAUAGCCCGAAGAAAUUCGGAUUAACACCGCAUAAAAUCACAGUUCAGCAUUGGACAAUGAUCAAAUAUUUAUAGGAAUAAGAUGGGCAUGCGUGUCAUUAGCUAGUUGGCGGGGUAACGGCCCACCAAGGCGACGAUGACUAGGGGAUCUGAGAGGAUGGCCCCCCACACUGGUACUGAGACACGGACCAGACUCCUACGGGAGGCAGCAGUAAGGAAUAUUGGUCAACGGGGGGAACUCUGAACCAGCCAUGCCGCGUGCAGGAAGACGGCCCUCUGGGUUGUAAACUGCUUUUAUUCGGGAAUAAACCUAUUUACGUGUAAAUAGCUGAAUGUACCGAAGGAAUAAGGAUCGGCUAACUCCGUGCCAGCAGCCGCCGUAA